rnacentral:rRNA from 1 species
UACGUAGGUGGCAAGCGUUGUCCGGAUUUACUGGGCGUAAAGAGCGCGCAGGCGGUCGGAUAAGUCGAAUGUGAAAGCCCCCGGCUCAACUGGGGAGGGUCAUUCGAUACUGUUCGACUCGAAGGCAGGAGAGGGAAGUGGAAUUCCCGGUGUAGUGGUGAAAUGCGUAGAUAUCGGGAGGAACACCAGUGGCGAAGGCGAACUUCCUGGCCUGUUCUUGACGCUGAGGCGCGAAAGCUAGGGGGAGCAACGGGG